rnacentral:rRNA from 1 species
GAUGAACGCUGGCGGCGUGCUUAACACAUGCAAGUCGAACGGAAAGGCCGAAGCUUGCUUCGGUACUCGAGUGGCGAACGGGUGAGUAACACGUGGGUGAUCUGCCCUGUACUUCGGGAUAAGCUUGGGAAACUGGGUCUAAUACCGGAUAUGACAAUCUCUUGGAUGGGGUUGUGGAAAGCUUUUGCGGUAUGGGAUGAGCUCGCGGCCUAUCAGCUUGUUGGUGGGGUAAUGGCCUACCAAGGCGUCGACGGGUAGCCGGCCUGAGAGGGUGUACGGCCACAUUGGGACUGAGAUACGGCCCAGACUCCUACGGGAGGCAGCAGUGGGGAAUAUUGCACAAUGGGCGCAAGCCUGAUGCAGCGACGCCGCGUGGGGGAUGACGGCCUUCGGGUUGUAAACUCCUUUCGCAACCGACGAAGCUUUUGUGACGGUAGGUUGAGAAGAAGCACCGGCUAACUACGUGCCAGCAGCCGCGGUAAUACGUAGGGUGCGAGCGUUGUCCGGAAUUACUGGGCGUAAAGAGCUCGUAGGUGGUUUGUCGCGUCGUUUGUGGAAUACCGCAGCUCAACUGCGGGGUUGCAGGCGAUACGGGCAUAACUUGAGUGCUGUAGGGGAGACUGGAAUUCCUGGUGUAGCGGUGGAAUGCGCAGAUAUCAGAGGAACACCGAUGGCGAAAGGCAGGGUCUCUGGGCAGUAACUGACGCUGAGGAGCGAAAGCAUGGGGAGCGACAGGG